UGUAACUGAACAAGUAGUUCAAAACUCGCAAGUAAAUCGGAUCUCAUCUCCGGACCUCCUCUCCCUUAAGUCGUCCAUCUUACCGAUGCUACCUAGCUAAAUUGAAAAGUUGGAUGCAGCCUCUGUCUCACCUGAGCGGGUUCUUGAUGGCGACGUAUCGGUCCACAGCGAUGGCCAGCAGGCUGAAGAUGGAGCUCUGGGGUGAUGAUGACCAUGCUGGGCACACACUGCUGUGGGAUGGCAUUCCACCUCUCAGUCAGGAAGCGGUUGUGUUGGGCCGCACUCAAAAGAAAUAAAAUACUACAGGAAGAAAUAACCCAAAAAGUCAUCAUUUUGCAAGAAAAAAAAAAUAAUUUAUGUUGAAAAGUCAAAUUAUUAGCAUAAAGUAGUGUAAUUUAGUGGGGGUCAAAGACUACAAAAAUGAAAAUACUAUUUAGGUAGUAUUUUUAUUAUAUGAGUUAUGAGGGAAAGUUGCCGCAGAUAUUUGGAUAUCAUGAAAUGAUGAAAAAGGAUGAGAAAAUGGUCAUAAUCCUAUAAAAUAUUUGCAAAAGUCCUAAUUUUAUGGGAGAAAAGUUGUAAUCUCAGCAGAAAAAGGCUCAAUUUUUAAGUCAAAAGUGGCAAUUGUGGGAGAAAAAAAUGCCACUUUUUUACAUGCAUAUUGUUAGAAUUGUUUUUUUUUAUAAUAAUCAUAAAAUAUGAUGAAAAUAGUCCUUAUGUAAAUCAUAAUAUGAGAUUUUUUUAAAUUACUUUAAAAGUUGCCAUUUUGAAAGAAAACAGAAAAAUUCUGAAUUUAAU